AAUGAGAUGUGCAGAUUUUAUAGUUAAAGAACCGAUGGUUAUUGGUCACGAGUGUGCUGGGAUCAUAGAAGAAGUCGGUAGUCAGAUACAGACUUUGGUGCCUGGUGACCGUGUGGCAAUCGAGCCUGGGAUUAGUUGUUGGCCUUGUGACCAUUGCAAACUUGGUCGAUAUAAUCUUUGCCCUGAGAUGAAGUUUUUUGCUACUCCACCAGUUCAUGGUUCCUUGGCUAAUCAGGUUGGUUGAAACAUUCACUUCUCAAAGUAUUUCCUUUGCAUGGUUACGUUCAAGGUUGCGGUUAUGUUGCAAACCUUUGUACUGCAGAAAAAUGUGACAGGUGCCGGUGCAAUUGUGGUUGUGGACACAAUUUUGUUAAUUUGGAAGAGCAUUCAAUCUUCUGCUUGAAAACAGGAAACUUUAAUUCAAGAAACGUGUUUUGUCCUAAAAACUUUCAAUCUUCUGCCUAUUGGUUUAUAAUCAAUACAUAUUGGAAAUGAUCAAUGACGGGUUUUCGAUUUAUUCAUUCUUGAUUAUUCAAAUACUUUCAAAUUUCUGCAUCAAUAAAAAGUGAAAUUUCAAAUUUUUUAAGGAUUGGAUGUUUUGAUGCCUAAAAAAUGUUGGAUAAAUUACUUAAUGACCCUAGUCCCUGAAUGUGAAAGCUAGUUGUUGCCUUAAUUGCUACUCAAGCAAUUGUCUCUAUCGGUGCCCGUUUUUCUAUUAAAAAAAUUAUGAAUUUUUAUUCAUAGUAAUGCAUGAAUGGGUAUAUAUUCUGCUUUGACGACCCUUAGUCCUAAAUUCAAUUAUGCAACUGCGAUUAAUGGAAACGUUUUGUAAGGGUUGGAUGCCUCAAUGACCUUUUAGAAAAAUCCAUUAUGAAUUCUUUAUUCAUAAUGAAAAAAUAGGAUGGUGGCUUUAGAAUUGAUUUUGCAUUUUGAACUUAAUGACCCUUGUCCCAAAUUUUACAUACGUUGGAAAUGUUGGAUGAACUUAAUGGCCCUAGUCCCUGAAUAUGAAAGCUAGUUGUUGCCUUAAUUGCUACACAAGCAAUUGUCUCAAUUGGUGUCCACUUUUCUAUUUAGGUUUCCGCUUUUCUAUUAAAAAAUAUUCUGAAUUUUUAUCAAUAAUAAUGCAUAAAUGGGUACAGAUUCUGCUUUGAUGACCCUUAGUUCCUAAUUUCAAUUAUGCAACUGCAAUUAAUGGAAAAGUUUUGUAAGGGUUGGAUGCCUUAAUGACCUUUGAGAAUAAUGCAUUAUGAAUUCUUUAUUCAUAUUGGAAAAAUAGGAUGGUGGCUUUAGAAUUGAUUUUGCACUAUGAACUUAAUGACCCUUGUCCCAAAUGUUACAUACGUUGGAAAUGUUGGAUGAACUUAAUGACCCUAGUCCCUGAAUAUGAAAGCUAGUUUGUGCAAAAACCUCACUUCUCUAAUAUCAAGCUUCAAAAUUAGAGGUUGGAGAAGAGUUUGAUUGAUUAAGAAAAAUGGGUAAAGGUGGAAUGUCAGUUGAUGAUGAUCUUGUUGAUCAACAGAACAUGGCUGCUUGGCUUGUUGGUUUAAACACUCUCAAGAUUCAACCUUUCAAUCUUCCUUCUCUUUUUAUUCUUCUUAAUUUUCCUAUAUAAAUUCCAUUCUAUUACUAUUAUUAUUGUUGUAUUGAUUAAAAUAUAUGAUUCAACAUUCUAUAACAUGGUUUGGAUUAAGUUCAUUGUUAAAAAUUUGGGAUUUGUAUUUUCUGUAGUUGAAAAAUUAAUCAAGUUUACACAGUCAAGUAAUUCUGAACUUUGGAUUAAUUAAUAAAUUGGAUUCGAAAUUUGGAAAUGGUUUUCGGAUUAAGUUCAUCUUUAAAAAUUUGGGAUUUGGAUUCUCUUUAGUUGAUAAAAAAAUGAUGAUGUUUACACAGUCAAGCAAUUCAUAAAUUUGAUCAAUUAAUAUAUCGGAUUCAAAAUUCAAAGAGAAAAUAGGAUACACACUCGCAGUGUAAAAUUAUUGUACACUAUCAUCCAAUAGCAAUCAUGUAUUCCGCCAAAUCACCCCACUAUAUCCCACUUUAAUGGUAUGAAGUGGAUAAAUGGUUGAUUCCUAUACUGACAAAGCAUAUCCAUUAAACUCAAUUGAAACUUGAACUGUGGGAAAUUUCAUCGACGGCAGAUUGCCGAAGGGCAGAAAUCUGCCAAACACACCAAUGUCGCCUAUAGUGGUUGACCAAAAAUCUGUCAUGCUACGAUGGCGCUAUCGCCCGUAUUUAACAACACUGAUUCUGAGUACGGUUUGGAUUGAUUGUGCCAACUUCGUCAUUAAUCGACUGCAGAGAAUCCAAAUGUAAUAUUUAUGUUAAAUCAUUGGCUUACUUCAUUUUUUAUGUUUGAAGGACCACAUGAUGUCAGAAUUAGAAUGAAAGCUGUUGGAAUCUGUGGGAGUGAUGUUUACUACCUCAAGGUAGAUAUUGUUACUGUUUCAUCCGAUUUCAAUAUUCGACAAAAAAAUAUAAAUCCGAUUUCAAUUUCCAACAUAAUCUGUAUUCUGUUAUUUCCUGUACUUAACUAUGUUCUGUCUACUAAACAGUUUCAAUUUUUGUUGGAUUAUUUGUAUUACUUUCAGACAAUGAGAUGUGCAGAUUUUAAAGUUAAAGAACCAAUGGUUAUUGGUCACGAGUGUGCUGGGAUCAUAGAAGAAGUCGGUAGUCAGGUACAGACUUUGGUGCCUGGUGAUCGUGUGGCGAUUGAGCCUGGGAUCAGUUGUUGGCGAUGUGACCAUUGCAAACUUGGUCGAUAUAAUCUUUGCGCUGAGAUGAAGUUUUUUGCUACUCCACCAGUUCAUGGGUCCUUGGCUAAUCAG
rnacentral:lncRNA from 1 species